rnacentral:lncRNA from 1 species
GUUUACCUUGAGUAUGAUGAUAUUUUGUAUAAUAUAUUGUUGCAUUGAAAUUUUUGAUAAAUAUAACAUGUGCGUAUGCGGGAUUUGAAUAAUGUGAUUUUUGUGUGUACUUAAAACUUUAGGUUGACAUUUAUAUUAUUGAGUAUGAUAAUUGUUCAGAACAAAAAUAUGAGAAAUGAUGCAAUAAUAAUUAUUCUUAUUGACGAUUUUAAAUGCUGUAGAGUAUGUUGUUGCCUUAAAGUUUGGAUAUAAACAUGAAAGUAUGAGUGAACUUGUGAAAAAUAUAAAGCUUAUAGGUGCAUGGAGAUUUAAAAUAGUUUGGAAUGAUACGGUAGGAUUGUGUAACCGAAAAAAUAGAUGACAAACGAGACGGAAGAAAGAAAAGAAGAAAGAAAUGUCAAGCUCACGAUGAAAGCCCAGGAAGUUGACAAAUAAAGUUCUAGAUCGCAACGUACAGAGGGAAUGUCAUAGUGAAAGCCCGAACAGUUGAUAAAAUAAAAGUCCUAGAUGUCAACAAUAAGGAGGAAUGAGGGUAAUGUUCAUAACCCACGAUGAAAGCCCGCGAAGUUUAACGAAUGUUAUCUCAUGUACUUAGUUGCAUAAUGAGGUUGGUUUUAUUAACCUAAGAAUUAAUUGAAUUUUUUGAGAAGACUCGGUAACACGGGAAAAAUGUUGGAUUGAAAAAUCAUGGAUUUGAAUCAAAAGUAUAUUUUGAUUAGAAUGAAAAUAUAUUUGUUGCAUCAUUAUUUUUAUUGUAAGCCUAAUAAAUCACAGUUUUGGCUUGAGACAUAAAGUCUAUUGUUAAAAUCCUUUUUUCAAGGUAAACUCACCUUUAAUAUCCAAUAAAUUUUAGAUACGAGGGUAUUUGAGUCGAGGCAUGUGGAUUGUCGUUAUGUUUAUUUUAUUUUGGCAAAUUGUAAAUGUAUUUGGGAAGUUGUAAUUAUUUUUGGCCGGGUGUGGACAUUGAUCCAUGAAAUAUCAUCUCGUUGUAUUGAUCGUUUAUGGAGGCAUGUCUACGGUAGGAGUAGAGUCUACUCUGAUGUAAUAACAGUGUAUUGCCAUGUUAUUUAGUUUGACUUUUUCAUAUUUGAGUUAUUUGCUUAUGUGGUCGGAUCUGGGUUUGACCGGGGCAUGACAUGUAGCACGAGGGUAUAGUCAAGAAGAAGGAAUAUAAUUUGAUAAAUCAUUUACUCCCGUAGCUAAAUUAGAAGGUAUAUGAAUGCUACUUGCGUUUGCAUGCUAUAUCAACUUCAAACUAUACCAAAUGGAUAUAAAUAUGCAUUUUUAAAUGUAUACAUUACUAAGAAGGUAUCUGUUGCAUAACUUCCAGGCUUUGAGAAUCAUGAAUUUCCGAACCACGUAUAUAAGCUUUUAAAAGCACUCUAUGAAUUAAAGAAAACUCCAAGAGCUUGGUGUGAAAGACUAAGUGAGUUUUUAAAUGAAAAUGACUUUAUUCAAGAAAAAAAAAUUACACCUUAUUCGUAAAAAUUAAAAAUAAAGACAUACUUAUUGUGCAAAUAUAUGUAGAGGACAUUAUAUUUGGUGCUACUAAUGAUAUUAUGUGCAAGGAUUUUACUAAGUGUGUGCGAGUUCAACUUCUUCCUUAGACUACAAAUCAAGUAAUCAAGUGAGAUAAAUUAUACAAACCAACCAAAAUAUAUAAAUGAGUUGAUCAAAUGUUUCAGCAUGAUGAGAGCCAUUAGCUACCCCGAUGAGCACAUCUAUAAAGCUUGACAAGACAACAACGCUAAAAAUGUAGAUGAAAAAAUCUAUUGAGGUAUCAUUGGAUCUCUACUCUAUUUAACUGAAAGUAGACCCGAUAUCAUGCUUAGUGUAUGCAUAUGUGCUAGAUUUCAAUCAUGCCCUAAAGAAUCACAUCUAUUGGCCAUAAAAUGCAUAUUUAAAUAUGUUAUAGAUAUGCAAAAUCUAGGUAUAUUUUAUCUAAGAGGAGUUGCCUUUGAUUUAAAAGGAUAAUUAGUACAGACUAUGCGGUAUGCAAAGUAGAACAAAAAAGCACAAAUGGUACUUUUUAAUUUCUAGGACAAUCCCUAGUUUCUUGAUUUAGCAAGAAACAAAAUUCCAUCACACUAUUAACCGCCAAUGCUGAAUAUGUGGCCGCCAAAAGUUGUUGUGCUCAAAUGCUUUAGAUAAAACAAUAAAUGGGGGAAUAUAAUUUAUAUUUUGAUUAUAUUUCAAUCAAUUGUGAUGAUACAAGUGCUAUAAUGUUGUCUAAGAAUCCCAUAUAACAUUCUAGAACAAAGCACAAUGAGAUUCGAUAUCAUUUUCUAAGAGAUCACAUCCAAAAAAGGAAUAUUGAACUUAUAUAUAUGCACACCGAUAAGCAAUAGGCAGAUAUUUUUAUAAAAUCACUUGAUAAGAAAGAUUUUAUUUCAUGAGACGUGAACUUAAUAUGUCUCAACCAAUGUGAAUAUAUUUUGAUUUCUUAAUUAAAUUCAUAAUACUUGAGUUAGUAGGAAUUGAGAAAGAAUAGUUUAAAUCAAAAUUUAUUCUAUAUGAAUAAAUUUAAUUGAUCUAAUAUAAGUUUAUUGAUCGACAAAAAUGUGCAUAGAAGUCUCAAAUUUUGAGAUACAUGAAAUUGAUUCAUAGAAUUAUAUUUUAUAGUUGUUUUAUGUAAGUGUGACUUGUGUGAAGAAAAAAAAUGAGCAGUAAGAUCAAACUUAAGUCAAAAUUCCUUACUGUCAAAUUUUGCAGAUAUAGUAGGAACUUCAUUUGAUCGAACUUGAAGUUUGGUUGAUCGAAGUUGCUAAAUUAAAAGGUCAUGUAUACAUUAAAAAGAACAUUAAUUGAGUCCUAGAAAACCUAUUUCUCUUAAAUACUAAUAUCUUAUAAACACUUAUCUAUUACUCUCUCUCUUUACCUCACUAAAGAAAACACAACCCAUACAAUUCUCUCAAAAUGUUUCAUCAAAUUAGUGUUCUUCAACUUCCAAUUUUCCUGAUUCACUCAACCUCUUGGAAGUUCGAUCGACAAAUCGCAAAAAUAUUGUUGACCGAAUUCACAACUUUGAUCUACUGAAGUAGCAGAAACUACGGGAUAAGAGGGAGGGAUAGAGUUUCAAAUGUUUUCAAGCUUCAAUUUCUUACCCUUUUUAGCUUCUAUCAGAUUCCUCGAGGACAUCUAUCUCUUUUAUCUCAUUAUAAAUAAACCCUAUACCUAUUCCUUAUCAUCAUAUCAAAAUCUCUCAAACCCUAGAUCAAAAGUCUAUGAUUUUUCAGACCAUGAUGCAUCCGAGAACCAAGCACGCAUCGAACGAUCCAAGAGGUGAGAAUACCAAUCCUAAACCUCAAAUGGAGUUCAAACCACAACUAUUCAAGAACAGGAAAAUCCAAAAGACAUGGCUAUCCGAGUUCAAAGAAAGGCCAAUCAUCACGGGAAGGAAAUUUAAGAAAAAUUUCCCACUCAAGUACUACAAGAAAAUGUUGGUGCCAUUGGAACCUCUUGGAUGGAAUGGAUGGCAUCCUCUUCCAACGGACAUGUACUCAAACUUGGUAAGGGUUUUCUACUGCAACUGAGAAGUAGGAAACCUAGAUAAUAUUGUGUACACAAUUGACUCAAAUGUUAGAGGGAAAUAUAUAGUCCUCAAUCCCACGAUCUUAUCUAAGAUCACAGGGAUUGUUAAUGCUAGGGACUACAUCUUUUUCAACAAGUCAAGCCAACUUGAUCAAUAUGUGAGUUAAAAACAUAUGAAUAAAAUGAUCUCCAUAAAUGGAAUAUUAAAAGCCACACAAACCAAGGAUAUGAUAAAGGAAUUCAGACUAUUCCAUACAUCACUUACAAUAUAAUUUCUAAGAAGAGACAUUAUAAUCAAGUGACAACUACGAUAGAAGAGCCUCAUAAUCUAAACUAUAUAAUUCUAAAUGAGAUUGCUAAUAUGAGAAACCAUAGUAGUCGAGCCCUACAUUUUGGUGCUCUCUUGACUAAAAUUUUCAAACACUUUAGAGUCAAGUUUAACAACCAAAUCAAUCAAUAUAUAGGUGGACGUUUUCCUAAACAAAUGAUAAAAAGAGAGACAAGUGUGUUCUCCUCCGAUAAGGAAGAAGAAGAAAGAAGUCACAGUGAUAUGGAGGUUGCAGGAAACUUUGAGGAUCUUCCCCCACAAACCGAGGAAACUUAUGAGGAACUAAGCACUCAAGUGUUCCAACUCCAAAUACAAGAAAAGGAAACGAUGCAGUGGGAGAAUCUUAUGCAAGAAAGGCUUUCAUCGCAAUACGUGCAUUCGACAUGAUUCUUGGAGUACUUUGGAAAGCUCAAUGCCAUAAUGAAACGCGUGGAGCAGCGCCAAGAGAAGUAAGUAGAAUAUUUUGAGCAAAUAGAGUAACGCCAAGAGAAGAAGGAAAGAUACAUUGAGAGGCUCGGUGACUUGUACGAGAACUUGUAUGAGCAGCAAAUCAACUUCAAUAAGCAAUACAACGAUAGGAUGACCAACAUGGAAACUCAGCUUUAGUAUCUCUAGUUCACAACUCAUCCUCCAGCUGAUUUUCCUCUUCCUCCUCCUCCUACACCAUUCGAUGCCCCUAGCUCUUCAUACCGGCCUUCUUGACCUGGACCUAUUGAUGAUUCCCUGAAGGGGGAGAAGAUUUUAGUUUUUUGAUUUAAUUUUUUUAAACAAAUUUCUGAUCAUUUAAAAUUUUUGUUUUAAAAGAAUGUGGUUUGUUUUUUAAUCUAUCUUAGUGUUUGAUAUGCUCCUUUUACAUGCCAUGUUGCUGUGAGUGUGGAUACAUAUGCCAUGUUGCCAUUCUUCUUAAUAUGCUUACUAAGUAUCCCUUGAUUCUAUGUUUAUAUAAUAAGCUUAAAAUAUUAAAACAUAAGAACAAGUUAAACAAGCACAAAGAUAGGGGAUGUUUGAAUAAAGGGGAGCAUGUAAAUUUUAAAACAAGAAUAUGAUUUUCAAAAAUAGUUGUGUCAUCAUAAAAAAUGGGGAGCUUGUUGAAAUAAAGGUUUAUUUGAGUUUUGAUGAUUACAAAUGUUUAACAAUAAGUCAAGUCUAAAAAUCACAUUAAACAACUUAGAAAUACAAGGACCAAAAAUAGUGGUCUUGAAAACAAUCCUACAUAUGAAUAAAAAAAGAUGUUAAGCUCUUUACAAGUCACGUUAAAUAUCAUUGUGCAUAUAAAAGAGGUAGAAAAGAUAAACCAACUCUUAAACUCAAAAUGGAUAGUUAACAAACUUAACUGAUAAAAAGACAAAACACAAAUUGCUACUGUCACAAGUUCGGACCGAACUUGUAUACCGAAGGUUAAAUGAAGCACAAUUGAACUUCAUCAAGUCAUCUAUUAACAGAUAUGAUCACUAGAAAAUCGUUAAACUACGACCGAAGUUCACAUUCAGUCAACCGAAGGCAAAAGAUGCACAACCAAUGUUGAAAUAGAGAACAAGGAUACUCACUGGGAUAACAGUUAAGACACGACUAUAGUUUACAUUCGGUCGACCGAAGUGUCGUCCAAAGUAUGUAAAGCCAAAAUAGAGCAACAUAAGUGAUCUCUAUAAUUACAGAAUAAUGUCGAUGAAAAUAAAAAAGCCCUCGAUCAAAGUUUUAAAUUCAUCAGCCAACAGAGUAUGCAAGUCACUGAAAUUUUAGUUCAAACUCGAUCAAAGUUCAAGUCAGUCGACUAAAGUUUUUGAUCGAAAUUUGAAAAGUUGAUCCUACAAUCCAAAUCAACAUCCAACAACUAAGACUCAAUUAGAACGGCUAGAUUAAAAGCAUUUUUGCUGCAAUAACUAUAAUCGACUUUUGACGAGGGGGGGGGGGAGGAGUGGGUGGGUUGGAGAGGGAGGGAAGGGAAAGAAGUGAAUAAGAUAUAAAGGAGGGGGAAGGAGUCGGGGGGGGGGUGGGGAGAGAAUUACUAAGGGAGGGAGAGGGGUUAUAAAUACAAUUUUGGGUUUGUUUGAAAGGUAUUGAAGUUUUUAACUUUCUACAAUCACUUGUAUUCAAUAUUCCUAAACAAACCUAUUUUAUCUCUUCAUAAUUUGCUUUGUAGUUAACAGUAAAUAUGAUCAAACCGCAUUAAUUUCUUUAAAUUCUUUCUUAUUAUUCUAUUUCUCUUUUCGAUUUUUCUGUAUCUAAAAUCAACAUGAUGACCAUGUUGUUUACUUGUCUAUUAACAAAUUUCUAUAAGAUGUCUUUGAAUGUACAAAAGAUCGUGAGUCACCAAUAGCCAACAGGUCAAAACCUAAACUUUCCAAUCUCAUUAAUAAAUAAAUAAGCAUGUUCUUAUAUAUUCGACACAACUUGUUUGCAGUGCAAUUCCAGAAUCUUGGGGUCUAUUUUGAACCCAUUUUGAUAAUUUAAAUUGUUCAUGUAAUAGAUUUUAUCGUAAAAAUUAAUAUUAUAAAAAAUUAUAUUAAUCAGAUACACAUUAAUAUACAUUUAGUACUAUUUUAUAACUUAAUAAAGUCAAAAAAUUCAAUUAUAAAGUCUAAUCUUUUAUAUUGUAAACCUCAUGAGCAGUUUUAAUAAAUUAAAAAAUGUCAAUACAUCACUACUGCCAUUGUCAACACAUUGUUGUUGGAGAGAUAAAUUUAAUUGUUUAAAAAUUAAAUUUCAUUAAUACCAAGUAUCUCCAUCUGACCACCACCUCCGUCCUCGCCAAUGUUUCUACUAGACAAAUCAACUACAUUUUAAAAAUUCAUUCAAAAAAAUUUUUGCUCAAAAAGUCAUCAUCGGCAACAGGCCAAAAAGUGGCAUCCGGGCACUUUUUGGUAGCCCAAGUUAGUGGUGACGGUGGAAAAUAGUAAAAAAUUAAAAGAAGCGUAGAAAGUAAUAGGAAUAUUUUUUUUUAUUUUAUUAAAAAAGAAUUUUAACUUUAAGAUUUGGUGACAAACGAAUUGUAGCAAGGACUAUGAACCAUCACUUAUGGCUAGAGCUGCUUUUUCAAAAUUGACGAACUCUACUUUCACUUUUUUUCAUGGAUAACAAGUGCGAAUCCAAGUCCACUCAAGCUGGGCUGUAAACAAAUCCAUAGUGACUCGAGACCAAGCCCCACAGUUCCCAAAUCAAAACACUUGGGAUAUUUGAUAACGUUUUUAUUUUUUUUAUUUUUUUUAUUUGUUUAAUUUUUAUUUUAUUUUGUUUAAUUUUUUGUAAAAUAGAAAUUAAAAAUAUUUUUGUGUUCACCUAUUUUUAAACUAUUUAAAAACAAAAUAUGUUUGUGUUAACUUUUUUUAAAACUAUGAAAAAAAAUGUAGAGGGCGUGGUGUGGAGGAAGUGGGUCGGUUGGAGGUGAUGGUGGAGGUGGAGGGGUCUGGUGUUGGAGGUGGAAGGACGGUUGCGUGGUGAUUGGUGGUGGUGGUGGUGGUGGUGGUGGUGGUGGUGGUGGUGGUGGUGGUGGUGGUGGUGGUGGUGGUGGUGGUGGUGGUGGUGGUGGUGGUGGUGGUGGUGGUGGUGGUGGUGGUGGUGGUGGUGGUGGUGGUGGUGGUGGUGGUGGUGGUGGUGGUGGUGGUGGUGGUGGUGGUGGUGGUGGUGGUGGUGGUGGUGGUGGUGGUGGUGGUGGUGGUGGUGGUGGUGGUGGUGGUGGUGGUGGUGGUGGUGGUGGUGGUGGUGGUGGUGGUGGUGGUGGUGGUGGUGGUGGUGGUGGUGGUGGUGGUGGUGGUGGUGGUGGUGGUGGUGGUGGUGGUGGUGGUGGUGGUGGUGGUGGUGGUGGUGGUGGUGGUGGUGGUGGUGGUGGUGGUGGUGGUGGUGGUGUGGUGGAAAAAAUUUAGAUAAAAAAAUUUUGAAUGAAAAAGUUUUAUAAACAAAACAAAAAUAACUUUUUCUUGUUUUUACUAUUUUCAAAAAUAGUGGAAGUUGUUUAGCCUUAUUUUUUCAUUUAUUUUUUUCAACACAAACAAGAUUUUGUUUACGUUUAUUUUCAAAAACAGAAAUUAAACAAAAAAAUAAAAAUUAAACAGUUAACAAACAAGCCCUUAGCUUUGAAAUAUGUUAAAUGAAUUAUUUUUUUCCAUGCUAAAUAGUUUGUGGUUUUGUGGAGGUUGUUGGUGCAUGAGUACGGGUACUUUUUUUGAAGUUGGAAUUUGGACUGCACCAGUUCAAGUUUUUUAAACUUUUAGUCCCUUUGUAUAUUCCAUCUUUAAAAUUUUAGAACUCAGUAACUUUUAACCCAUUAGUAUCCACUAGAAAUAUCAUUUCACUACAAGAAAAGAAAAAGAUUUUUUGCCUCAAGGACGUGCCGCCACAAAUAAUCACCUUUCCGUUGUAAAAAAUUUUUGCCCCGGAGGACUAGGUGGCAAUUGGUGGGUUUGCAAGAGCUUUUUGCGGUGGCAUCAGACCAUGGCAAAUACUGUAGCCACACUUUACAAUCAAUAAUCCUAAGUCAAAAAAUGAGUCACGAUCGACCACUUGAAUGAUAUUGACAGCAUCCUUCAAACCUAAUGGGAAAAUUGUUACUCGAAAACAUAAACCCCUCAUGGCUUAAAAAUUUUCACCAUGGUCUAGUCAAAUCUAUAGUACCAUUAAAAAUGAUUCUGUCAAAUUGAAAUGUUAAAGGAUGCACACAAAUCAUAAUAUUAAGUCUGCCUAGGCGUCAAAAUUGUGGGAAAAACAAAUUUUCACUUGGCUGGUAGUUCAGUAGCUAUUUGGUGAGUUAAAAAGAGGAUAUUCUUAUUCAAGGGAAGAAUAAUGACGGGGGGACAUCCUUUCUCUUCCAGAUCAGAAGAAUAUACAACACAUCUGCAUCUACAUUAUCAAUCUCCUCUCUCUCCCAACUUUAAAAUCUUUCAGAUAUUUCUAAGUAACAUCCCUAAUAAACUUGGCAUUGGUCCAAAGUCGUGCAGCAUUAAAGCCUAUCAUGUCCCUCUCUUCCAUCUUUAAAAUCUUUCAGAUAUUUCAAGAAAACAUCCCUAAUAAACUUGAUAUUGAUCCAAAGUCGUGCAGCAUUAAAGCCUAUCAUGUCCCUCUCUCCCAUCUUCACAAUCUUCCAAAUAUUUCAAGAACAUAUCCCUAAUAAACUUGAUAUGAUCCAAAGUCGUGAAACACCAAAGUCUAUCAUGUCCAUCUCUUCCAUCUUUAAAAUCUUCCAAAUAUUUCAAGAAAACAUCCCUAAUAAUCUUGACAAUGAUCCAAAGUCGUGUAGCAUUCAUACCCCUCUCCCAUCUUUAAAAUCUUCCAAAUAUUUCAAGAAAACAUCCCUAAUAAAUUUGAUAGUGAUCCAAAGUCGUGCAACACUAAAGUCUAUUAUGUCUCUCUCUUCCAUCUCUAAAAUCUUCCAGAUAUUUCGAGGAAACAUCCCCAUAAUCUUGGCAAUGAUCCAAAGUCGUGUAGCAUUCAUACCCCUCUCCCAUCUUUAAAAUAUUUCAAAUAUUUCAAGGAAACAUCCCUAAUAUAGUUGGUAGUGAUCCAAAGUCACGUAGCAUCAAAGCCUAUCAUGUCCCUCUCUCCCAUCUUUAAAAUCUUCAAGACAUUUCAAGGAAAUAUCUCUAAUAAACUUGGCAAUGAUCCAAAGUCGUGUAGCAUUAAAGCCUAUCAUGUCCCUCUCUCCCAUCUUUAAAAUCUUCAAGAUAUUUCAAGGAAACAUCCUUAAUAAACUCGGGAAUGAUCCAAAGUCGUGCAGCAUUAAAGUUUACCAUGUCCCUCUAUUCCAUCUUUAAAAUCUUCCAAAUAUUUCAAGAAAACAUCCCUAAUAUAGUUGGUAGUGAUCCAAAGUCAUGUAGCAUUAAAGCCUAUCCGUCCCUCUCUCCCAUCUUUAAAAUCUUCCAAAUACUUCAAGAAAACAUCCCUAAUAAUCUUGACAAUGAUCCAAAGUCGUGUAGCAUUAAAGCCUAUCAUGUCCCUCUCUCCCAUCUUUAAAAUAUUCAAUAUAUUUCAAGGAAAUAUCUCUAAUAAACUUGGCAAUGAUCCAAAGUUGUGUAGCAUUAAAGUGUAUCAUGUCCCUCUAUUCCAUCUUUAAAAUCUUCAAGAUAUUUCAAGAAAACAUCCCUAGUAUACUUGGCAGUGAUCCAAAGUCGUUUAGCAUUAAAGCCUGUUGAAAUAAAAGUUUAUUUUAUUUUGAUGAUUAAGCUAAGUCAAGUUUAAACACCGAUGAAAAUCGUAUUAAGGAAGAAAAAAUAAACAAACACGUGCUAAACUUAUAUUAGUCACAAACAAAUUUAUUUUAAGAAGAAAAGAACUACAAAGAUUGAUAAAACAACUUAGAAUUCCAAUAACUGAAGUCAACUGGUUUACAUUCGUAAAAGAAACAACAGUGGUAUUGAAAGUAAAGCUAAUCAUGUUUAAAGUGAGAAUUGAAACUCUCUACAAAUCAUAUUCAAUGCUAUCAUUCACGCAAAAAUGGUAGAAAAGCUAAAUAAAAGAUUGAACUCAAAUUGAAUAGUUAACCGCCCAAAUUGAUAAAAAGACAAAGCAUAAACUGCUAUUGUCACAAGUUCAAUCUACCGAAUUAAUUGACCAAAGCUUAAGAGUCUCAACCAAAGUCUGAAGGUUCAAAAUAGUUGCCCAAGUUGCUCACUCAAAAUAUAGUUCAGACAACACCGAAGUUCACAUUAGGUCGACCAAAGUUAAAGAAGGUACAACCAGAAAGUGAAAUAGAGGACAUGCGUGCUCACUAGAAAAACAGGUUUACUACGACCAAAUUUUAUAUUCGGUCGAUCGAAGUUAAGAAAAUCACAGCUGAAUUUAAAACAGAGCAACUAAGUGCUCUCUAGAAUUGAAGAACAACGUCUAUCAAACUUGACAUUCGGUUGACUGAAAGGAAAAAGCCCUCGACUGAAGUUAUAAAUCACUUAGUAGACAGAAUGAACAAGCCAUUAGAAUUUCAUUACAACCACGAUCGAAGUUCAAGGUCGGUUGGCCGAAGGUGUCGAUUGAAGUUCGAAAAGUUGAUCCUGACUGUCCAAAUAAAGAUUUAACGGCUGAGAUUCAAUCAGAAUGACUAGAUCAGAAGUAUCAAAUUCUGUAACGACUCUAAUCUACUUUUGGCUUAUAAAUACAAUUUUGGGGGUUGUUGGUAAUAUAUUGAAGUGCCAUAUAUUUUUAAAAUCACUUGUAUUCAAUACUUCAAUCCCUUUAUCAUUUACUUAUGAGUUUUGAUUUGUGAGAGUUAGAUCACUCUAGACAAAAGAAAGUUUCAUUAUAAUUAUCCUUGUUCUAGAAUUGGUUAGAUAAGAGUUACUUUAAUUGGAAAAAUCAAUAUAAGUUCUAGUGUUUGUAAAGGUUGUGAAGAUCAAUAUAGUUCCCAAGAGAUGGAGUCUCUUGAACACUAGAAGAGUUCUAGUGUUUGUAAAGGUUGUGAAGUACCCGCAAACUUGAAGAUAGUAAAUUUUCAAGGAGAAUCUUGAAGAGUAGACGUAAAUCGAGAUUUGUCAGACCACUAUAAAUCUACGUUCCAAUCGAGUUUUAAAAAACAAUUAUAACUAAACAACGUAUAUUGCAAAUAACUAAACAUCUUCUAUUGUAGAGCACAACUUAUGUAAAACCUUGAUAAUUCAAACAUAAAAAUAAGCUUUUUAAGAUGUUCUUGACCCACAAAUAAAAAGCAAAAUUUGUGACGAGCUUUCUAAAACAUGAAAAAGCGAAAACUGCAACCACCAAAAUUGUGGGCAAUACUCCGAGGAUUCUUAGGGCAAGUAUUUGACGCUGACCUGGAACACAUGUCUCGCUCUUUGAUUAAAGCAUAUGCUCAAAAUCACAUUUUUAAAGAUAAAAUCACGCUUAUUUUCAUUAUUUUACGAAUAAAAAGUUUUAAUACAUCAUUACUGCACUGUCAACACAAUUGUGAUUGGAGAGGGAAAUUUCAUUGUUUUCACCAAGUCCAAGUCUACUACUGUUGAGUUGUAAACAAAUCCAUAGUAUCAAGACCAAACCCCCCCAGUUCCCAAAUCAAAACACUUGGCCUUGAAAUAUGUUAAAUCAACAAAUUUUUUUCCAUGCAAAGUAAGUAGUGCGUUUUGUGGAGGUGCUGGUGAGAUGAGUUAAGGGUAUUUUUUUUAACGACCUAGUUCCUUUAAAGUUGGAAUUUGGAUUGCUCCAGUGCAAUUCAAAUUUUUUGAGUUCACUUUGGGCUAAGUUUGAUCAUUCAAAAUGUUUAUAUUGUAAACUCUAAUGUCAAGAUCAGUAUUACAAAAGAUGCGUUGAUCGAAACACAAUCUAGAAUCCGUUUAUUACUGUCUCAUAUUCGAAACUUCUGAAGUGUCAUCAAUUUUUAAUUUGGGGUUUAAAUCCAUUGUUAAUGGACAGUGAGAUUAAUUCUUUAAAUUAGUGGGUCCUGAGACAGAUACCGAAUUAUUAAAAAUAGUAUAUUUGUGGAAAAUAUUAUACAAUUAAUUAUUAGGAACGAAAGAGAUUAGGAGCUUUUAGUCCCUGCUCUUUUACUCCUACUAUCCAUGCCUUCAAAACAAAUGAAUGUGUGUAUGUUUUUAUCACUUCAAUCCAUUCCUAACAACCCCAAGGGUUAAUUUUAAAAGUUCCAAAUUGGAUAGAGACGUUGCAUCAUUAAUUGCACUAAAAAGAACCGUUCUGAUUUGAUUUCAGUCAUUGGAUCUGAGAUUUUGAUAUGCUAGAGUGAAAUUUAAAAGUCGGUCGUCGUACUUUCUAAAACUUUGGUUGACCGAACUUUAACUUCGGUCAUGUUUGAACUGAAUCUCUAAGUGGCUAAGUUAAUUGCUCUAUUUUACUUUCCUGAACUUCGAUCGUCCCUAAUUUGGACUUUAGACUUCGGUCAACUAAAUUUUAAGUUCGGUCGUUUUUGUACUGCAUUUUCAGGGGUUUGCUUAGAUACUCUGCUUAGAUACUCUGCUUCAUCUUUUGAAUUUGGCUUCUACCUUAAAGAUUCGGCUGUGCUCUGAACUUUGGUCGUGUACUUCUGAAUGUUCGGUCGACCAUUAAGUUGGAUUGUCAUUAGCUUGUUUUUCCAGAGAGCUUUUACUUACAUUAUUAAUUGAGAGUUCCUAGCAUUCGGCUGUGCUUUGGGACUCAGUUCUUGAACUUUGGUCGAUCCUUCUUGGACUUCGGUCGCCUCUGACUGAGUUUCUGAGAGCAUACUCUGUUCUUAACAAUAAUCUUUGUUUUGCUUGUGUUAGCAUUCGACGUUCAAACUCUUUUAGAUCUACCCAAGUCUAUUUCUAAGACCACCCUUUAUUUUUCUUUUUAUCGAUGAUUUUCAAACGCAACUUAGUUUAAUCCUUUGUAAUCAUCAAAAUUAAUUACUUUAUUUAAUAAAUAUAAUUUAUUUGUAAAAGAAAAGUGUAAUUUUUUUGAUGGUGUCAAUUGACCCCACGACCAUUGUGACAUAUACCCCGAGGAUUCUUACGGUAAGUAUUUUAGGUGACGGAACACAUGUCUCAGUCUUUGAGUAAAGCAUACGCUCAAAAUCACAAUUUUUAAAGAUAUUCCACAUAUUUUUCAUUAUUUCACCAAUAAAAUAGUAUCAAUACAUCACUACUGUCAGCACUAUUGUGGUUGGAGAGAGAAAUUUCAUUAUUUUAUCAAGUCCAAGUCCAAGUCCAAGUCCAAGUCCAAGUCCACUCCUGCUGAGUUGUAAACAAAUACAUAGUGGCUCAAGACCAAACCCCACAGUUUCCAAAUCAAAACACUUUGGCUUUGAAAUAUGUUAAAUCAACAAUUUUUUUCCAUGCAAAAUAGUUACUGUGGUUUUGUGGAGGUUGUUGGUGCAUGAGUUAUGGAUAUUUUUUUAACGACCUAGUUUCUUUGAAGUUGGAAUUUGGAUUGCACAAGUGCAAUUCAAGUUUUUUGAGUUCACUUUUGGACCCUGUUUGAUCAUUUAAAAUAUUUAUAUUGUAGACUCUGAUGCCAAGAUCAGUAUUAAAAAAAGACCACGUUGAUCGAAUAAAUUUAGAAUCCGUUCAUUAAUAUCCCGGAUUCGAAACUUCUUAGGUGUUACUAAUUCUUAAUUUGGGUUCAAACCCACCGUUAAUGGACAGGAGAUUAAUUUUCUAGAUUAGUGGGUCUUGAAUCAAAUACCGAGUUAUCAAAAAUACUAUAUUGUGGAAACUAUUAGUACAAUUAAUUUGUUAGGAAUGUAAGAGAUAGGAGCUUUUAGUCCCUGCUCUUUUUGGCCUACUAUCCCUUUCCUUGCAAAACAUAUGUAGUGUAUCCCAUCUUUAAAAUUUUAGAACUCAGUAAUUUUCUUGUAAGUUGUAACUCAUUAGUAUCCACAAGAAAUAUCAAAAAUAGUCACCUCUCCGCCGUAAAAACUCUUUGCCACGGAAGGACUAGGUUGGCAAUUGGUGGGGUUGCAAUAACUUUUUGCGUUGACAUCAGACCAUGGCAAACACUGUUGCUACACUUUUUCAACUAAUAAUCCCAAGGCAAAAAAUAACAGUAUAAAUUGUUACUCUAAAACAUUAAUCCCUCAUGGCUUAUAAAUUUUCAACAUGGUCUAGUCAAAUCCAUAUUACUAUUAAAACGAAAGAUGUUUGUCGACUUUUCAAUUCCCAAAAUGCCCUUGGUUCAAUAAAAAAAGGAAUAUUGAAGUUGUGAUUUUGUUUUUGAGGAAAAAAAAAAACUUACUCUCACUUAGACACGUAAAACCAAGCCUUUUAUUUUACUCCUCCAGAAUUCAUUCUAUUCAUUCCAGCCAUAACAGACAACGCUUCGGUAAUCCUAUCAACUCCAUUGUGUCUUCUUCAAUUGCCCAAUAGCUUCUUCUUCACUCUUAUCUUCGAAAGAAACUUUCCCUUGAUUGUUUAUGCUAUCUAACCUAAAUCAUUCAGAGAGCAGGAGAGGUGGAAAUAAUAGCAGCUUUCUAAAUGAACCCUAUUAUUUAGGAGAUGUCUUUCUACUUGGGAAGUGGAGCAAACAUAGUCUACUUCAAAUGAAAAUUGAGGAGUGGAUUCCGGUUACGGAUAAGAAUGAUUCUCUCAAAUUGAAAUGUUAAAGGAUGCAUAUAAUCAUAAUAUUAAGUCUGCCUUGGUGUCAAAUUGUGAUAUUUAGUAAGUUAAAAAGAGGAUAUUCUUAUUCAAGGGAGGAAUAAUGAUGGGGAUGUCUUUUCAUCUCUAGAUCAGAAGAAUAUACAACACAUUUACAUCUAUAUUAUGAAUCUCCUCUCUAUCCCAACUUUAAAAUCUUCCAGAUAUAUUAAGAAAGCAUCCCUAAUAAACUUGGCAUGGUCCAAAACGUGUAGCAUUAAACCUUAUCAUGUCCCUCUCUUCAUCUUUAAAAUCUUCAAGAUAUUUCAAAAAAACAUCCCUAAUGAACUUGACAGCGGUCCCAAGUCGUGUAGCAUUAAAUCCAUUGUUUGUCCCUCACUACAAUCUUUAAAAUCUUCAAGAUAUUUCAAGGAAACAUCCCUAAUAAACUUGACAAUGAUCCAAAGUUGUGUAGCAUUCUCUCCCAUCUUUAAAAUCGUCAAGAUAUUUUAUAGAAACAUCCCUAAUAAACUUGAUUGUGAUUCAAAGUAGCGUGUUAUGUCCCUCUCUUUUAAAGUAUAAUUUAUUAUUUAUUUUAUUAAUUAAUUCCAGAUAUCAAGUCAACACAUGGUAGGCUUUUAAAAUUACAUUUUGUGGCUGAAGAUGGUACCUGUCAUUCAAAAUAUUGACCCUUGCCGAGGUUGGUGAAUUGACUGCAAGCGGAGGACAAUUACACACAUUGUCUUGGCCUUGGAUAUUUCUCAUCUAAACUAAAAAUUUGGACUGUAAAUGGUGGCAGUUGACAAAAUGGGCCCAUCAAUGGAUGAGUACUAACAAAAGAAUUUAUUAAAAACCGAAAGAUCUCUUAAAAAAGCCAAAAUUUGGAGACUUGUUAGACAUAUAAUUUGGGGCCAAUUUUGAACAAAAACAAAUGAGGAAUUCAUACGUCUUUUUAACCGGAUCCAAAUUCGAAUAUGCUAUCUAUGUGAGAUGAUUAACAUCCGAUAUUUUUUUUAUUCAAAACGAAUAAAGAGUGAAUGAAAAAUUGACACCAAAAUUCACUAGUUGAAUAUUAGGUGAAGAAUGGUUAAAAAAUUGUUCCGCAUUGGUCAUUUAUGAGACCUUUAGUGGGUUUACAGGCUUCUCCUUGAACUUGGGCUUGGACUAAGGGGCACCACGGUUCUCUGGAGGAGGGAGGACCUAGCACCUUAUGUGUUGACCUUUUCAAAAGUUUUUAUUUUUCAGCACCUUAUUAUUUUUUAUAUAUGAUUUUAAAGCGGUUCAAAAGUUUCUUAUAGUUGUGGUAAUUGGGUCCUUUCAUUACGUAGUUUCGGCCAUAUGCUACGUAUAUGGGCAGUCAAAUGAGCAAAAACUUUCAUUAACAAAUUAAACGAUUGCUCUGAAGAGUUACAAAGGAGAAUGUGUGAAGAACUUUCUCUCCAAAGCCCCACCAAAAUCAAAUAUAAAUUUUCUCCAAACCUUAACUAGAAUCAAACCAAAAACUUUGUCAAACAAAAGGAUUAAAGAUUCACCAAAGUCCUCAAUUGUGGCACCAAAGGAACUACAAAGUUCGUCCAAAUACUAAGGGUCAACCCAGUCCCCUAUAGGGGGCUUCAAAGGAACUAUGAAGUUUAACAAUAUGAGAGUCUUUCCAAAUUUAUAACUAUGGAAUCCCUCAUAAAAAGAUAGUGUAUGGAAAUCUAUUACUUUCUUGUAGUGAUUUCUUUUAUUUUACUUUUUGAUUUAUUUCUAAAAUAUGCAGGGUUCCAUUUUAAGAGUUCGCUUAGGAAAGCUUAGGGCCGGCCCCUGAUUAGAUUCAUGUAUAAGUCAGUAAAUAAAGAGAUUUCAUGCACUGUUGAUUCACUGUGAAAACAAAUUGAAGUAUUUUAUUUGUUCAGCGUACAAUCACUGUAUUUCAAGAGACAGACAUCUAAAACAGUAAACACAGUGAUGAAGGAAAAUUCUGCAUUCAAGGACAUAGUGUUAAACACGAGCCUUGAUUAUUCUCCUUCGAAUUGCUCAUUGCAGAUUCUACAAUUUUUUUAUACAAAGCAUAUCUUCUUCUGCAAUCAGUCUUUUGUGUUCAAACCACAGGAUCUGUUUCUGAUUUUGUCUCUAAAAGUAAUUGUUGUUUCCAAAACAGUUUUGGGUUAUGUUUAUGCAAAAUCAGAGUUUUUAAAUAAUUUAGUUUCUGCAAAUUAAAUCUGUUUCUAUAAUUAUAUAUAUCCAAAUGUAUGGAAUGAUUUUUCCUUUUAGCUCCCAUUCAUAUUGAUACUAGCGGAGGUACUAGACCUCAUAGGAAUCAAACUAAGUAAUUGUGGGGUUGUUGUUAUACGAAAGGAGGAGAGGAAAUCGAGGAUAGACACCCGCGGUGGUCCUAGAAGCUGCGUGGGUGGCUCUGGCCUCCUGAGCGACUGACUUGUGAUGCCUUGCUUGUGAGCACAACAACAGUAAGAAUGGUCGCCGGAGUUGUUUUUGAGAAAUAGCUCUCUGACGGUCAAGUUAGACGUCUAGAAUCAUAGAGAGAGAAAGUAUGUGCAUCUUUGGUUGGAGUACAUUCACAUCUGCGUCUAUGAGAACAACCGUGUUCUCCUUUAUACCUAGACUCAGCACGUGACUCGACGUUUGCUGUGUCAGUGAGUGGGUGGCUGGCCAAGCAUCUAUGGCGUGGCUAGAAGCUUAC